ensembl:lncRNA
UGGAGUUUGGCUUACGUUGAGAGGAAAGUGGGCAGAGCCGCUGAAGGAUAUCAGCUCAGGCAGAGCAGAGGGGAGGACACACGCAGCAGAGGAGCAAGGCGUCGAGGACGGAGAGGAGAGAAGGCGCAACGAUGCGGCUCAAAGUCCCACCAAAACGACGAAAAUCGCCCAAAAACGCGACUCCGACUAUGGCAGACGACGGGGGAUAGACACGGCCUGGGAAAUGGGGAUUUUCCUCGAUGUUUUACGAACUACGUCAAGGAAGAAAGGAGGUUGUUUCACCUAAGCUAAAUGGGUUGACAUUUAGCCACCAUGAAAUGAAGAAUUCGUGUGAUCCACGCUUCAGUGGGGAUUUCUGAGACUUGGACUGGUGAGAAGAUUUUCCAAUUUUGAAGAAAAAGAAGACAGCUCUACCCCAUUCAACUGGAUAUUGAUGAAGUGGAGACAGCGUUGUUUAACGCGAAGAUGGCAAGCGAUUUGGCGGUUAGCCAAAUUUUGACAAGACGAAACCUUUUUCUGAGUGGACUUUGACGUUUGGAUUUUUAUUAUUUUUUUUUACCACAACAAUGGACUCUGGAACACCGUCACUGACUGUGUAGUGGACUCGUUAAAAAAUUGCAUUGUUUUUUCUGGGAAACACAAAAUGCGCCUUUGUACAUUUGAUAUUCAAAUGUUGUUUUAAAUAAAGUGUAUGUCCUCG